GCGAAUUUUCCUCUUCGAUGACUUGUGAGACUACUGUUGCACACAACACCUUUUGCAAAAUGCUUCUAAAAUGAAGGUAGAAAGUGAUAAGCAACAUAAGGAAAGAUCAUUCAUAGGAUGUUGAUGUGGGAGAAAUUACAUCUUUUCCAGGGAAGAGACUGGAAGGAUUACGGACAAAAGAGCCACUUUAGAGUGAGACUUAAAACAUGAUUAGGGACUGCAGAAGUAGAAACUGCAUAGAGAAAUUACUAAAUUAAAAGGAGACAUGAAGUUUAUAAAAUCUACACAUAAAUGGAUUUAUGUGCCAAGUAAGGGUAAAAUGAAGUGAUUUCUGAAAUGAUCAACUCAAAAUGUUUUUAAUUCUGAAAAUCACGAGUUUAUUCCAUCAGCUCUGAAAAACUGCUGACGAUUUUGAGCAGGAAAGACCAUUGACCUGAAUUAUGUUUGGGAAGAUCAAUCCAGCAGUUGUAUAUAGAACAUAUUAGAAAAAGAGAAAAGUAGCAGGUAUACAACUUGCAAAGAAUCAUGAAUAAGUACAAUGAUCAUCCCUUCUUUUCCACCAACUGAGAUGCCAUUCAAAUUCCUCCUCCUGCUCUCCCAAGAAAGAGAAGGCCUUCAUUAUAGACCUGGAAGA
rnacentral:lncRNA from 1 species